GCGGCAGUAGCUCAGCUGGAUAGAGUGACUGGCUACGAACCAGUAGGUCGGGGGUUCGAGUCCCUCCUGCCGUACCA
rnacentral:tRNA from 2 species